rnacentral:rRNA from 1 species
UACGGAGGGUGCAAGCGUUGUCCGGAUUUAUUGGGUUUAAAGGGUGCGUAGGCGGCCCGUUAAGUCAGUGGUGAAAUACGGUAGCUUAACUAUCGAGGUGCCAUUGAUACUGCAGAGCUUGAGUACAGAUGAGGUAGGCGGAAUUGACGGUGUAGCGGUGAAAUGCUUAGAUAUCGUCAAGAACACCUAUAGCGAAGGCAGCUUACUAGGCUGUAACUGACGCUGAGGCACGAAAGUGUGGGGAUCAAACAGG